rnacentral:rRNA from 1 species
GAUGAACGCUAGCGGAAGGCAUAAUACAUGCAAGUCGAACGGAUGUAGCAAUACAUUAGUGGCGCACGGGUGCGUAACGCGUAUGCAACCUACCUUCAUCAGGGGGAUAACUACCCGAAAGGGUGGCUAACACCGCAUAAUACUACUGAAUGGCAUCAUUUGGUAUUUAAAUCUGAGGAGGAUGAAGAUGGGCAUGCGUCUGAUUAGCUAGUUGGUGUGGUAACGGCGCACCAAGGCGACGAUCAGUAGGGGAACUGAGAGGUUGGUCCCCCACACUGGCACUGAGAUACGGGCCAGACUCCUACGGGAGGCAGCAGUAGGGAAUAUUGGUCAAUGGUGGGAACACUGAACCAGCCAUUCCGCGUGCAGGAAGAAGGGUCUCUGACUUGUAAACUGCUUUAGCAAGGGAAGAAAAAGCUAAUGCGUGAGAAAUUGACGGUACCUUGAAAAUAAGCACCGGCUAACUACGUGCCAGCCGCCGCGGUAAUAC